UCUUCAAACACUCCUUCAGAUUUUCCAUGCUAGUGGAUCAAUGCUUUUGUUCAUCCUUACCCUAAGACUUUGAAUAUUCAAUCCACACAAGAAUAUCCUAGUAUGCUAUGUUGGGUUAUUUAAGACUCACUCGUCUAUGAGAACACCCACUUGUUUCUCCUAUGUAAGAUUCUAUCACCUGUUGAGGAUGAGAAACUCCAGCAGCUUGUUGAGCAAUAUGUCCCCAAGAAUUGGAACUCUAUUGCAAAGAAACAUCAAGGGAGAUCAGAUGAGCUCUGAAGAUCAAUCUGGUAGAAUUGAAAUUGCACCAUGAUACAACAGGUAAGAGUUGUAGAUUAAGACGGUUUAACUAACUUGACCCAAGAAUUAACAGAAGGCCAUUUUCAGAAGAAGAAGAAAGACUACUUGCAGCUCAUUGAAUUCAUGGCAACAAGUGGGCUCUAAUAGCUCGGCUCUUGGCAUGUUAUCAUGGCUAGAAAACAUAGAAAACGCUAAAAGUUGAUCACACAAGUUCAGAAGGAAUCCGGAGCAAGAACAGGGAGAUGACUCCAUCAAACACAUGGAUU